rnacentral:rRNA from 1 species
CGACUACAUGAAGCUGGAAUCGCUAGUAAUCGCGGAUCAGAAUGCCGCGGUGAAUACGUUCCCGGGUCUUGUACGCACCGCCCGUCACACCAUGGGAGCCGGAAAUGCCCGAAGUCUGUGACUCAACCGAGAGGGGAGAGCAGCCGAAGGUGGAGCUGGUAACUGGGGUGAAGUCGUAACAAGGUACC